UCUUUCAAUAUAUAAAUACAACGUUGUGAGGUGUUUAUCAAAUUUCAAAUGAAGCGGUUUUGCUAUUGCUUCGACAAUUACCUGUUGUCAUGAACAAUGCGAUAUUGCGCAGCAGUUCAGCAGUCACUGAACUCAUCUUACACCGCUUUACAAAAUCAUCAUCGUCUACAGCAACGCUCAAUCGUGCUUUUACAACCACGGUUACCGAGUUCGGUUACUAUGGACUUGAUGAAAUAUCUGAGGGCGAACGGGAAUAUACACCGGAAAAAAUUUGAAUCGAUAUUCAAACGAUAUGACCAUUCAUUCUCUGAUUGUGAAGUUGUCGAUUUAAAUGAGUUGUUUAAAGAGAGCGAUGAAACACAUAAACCAUCGUGCCGCACAACGAAAAACGAGAGAAAGUGCCGCAAACCUAGAAAGUUAGCGGUAAUCUCUAACAAAAAAUACCCGAGAUAUCAAACAAGGAGUGUAACCAAGAGAAAAUGUUCAAAGUCUACAAAAGGCACCACUAACCGCCUUGCGAGAAAAUCAAAAACAGCGAGAAAAUCAAAAACAGCGCGAAAAUCGAAUGUAAAAGAUUUUCUCCGGAGUCCUUUACCUAAUGGUAAUAUGAUGGGAUCGAUCGUGUCGCGAAACAAAAGUAUGUUCUGUGAACCACCAACCUUUAUGGAUCUAGAUGUUUCGAAUUCAGAUGACAGCGAUAAUAUUUCUGAUGUUGAUACAAACGAUGAAGAUUCUGACAAGAGUCAGUUCUGUACUCCCCCGAGUGUCAUUGAAGUAAGUGGUUUCUGUACUCCACCGACGGUAAUUAACGAAAAGCUGAACGGAAACUUUAACCAGAACAAGGAAAAACAAUCAAAUCUAUGGCAAGAACGCUUCAGCAGACAUUAUGUUCCAGUCAAUAAGUCUAUGCUAACUAAAAAUCAAAGAACCGCAAAAGCUCUUUUAAGAUGGCAGGAGCAUUUUGCUCACAUGUUUCCAAGUGUCUGACGCUCAAGGUGUGAUUAUUGAACCUGGUCUUGAAAUUACCCUCUGGAAGGCCCACAUAUUUCUUCGUCGAAACUGUGUCCUUAGUGGAUAUAGAGUCCACGGUGGCUUCAUACAUGAUGGUCUCGGACAUGUGGAUGUGUGCAGGUCUCCUCCUCUAUAAUGAGACACAGAAUGCAGCAGACUUAUUUUCCAAAAUCUAAUUUAUCAUCAGUAAUUUAUGAGGAAAGAAGCACCAGUUGACUUAGUUAAUGACCAAUGAAUUCUCCAUAAAUAUUGAUCCAAUGCCAAAAUGGAUGGAAACUUAUUUGUUCCUACUUUGAAAGACUUGAUUUUUCUAUCUUUUUAACCAUUCUGCCUCCAUUCUCUGUUUGGAAUAUGAGAAAAUCUAAUAACGUCAAACCAUUGCUAAUGGUCUUUGGUCUUCUUUUAAAUUAUUUUCUCUUGGCUGUCUUGGAAUAUAUUGUUCUUCAAAAUUUAUAUAUUGUAUGGUACUUUGAAAUGGCCAAAGCAAAAUUUUAGAAACAAUGUGAAGAUUUAUUUGUGUUGCUCACUUCUUUUUAUGUCUAACAUUGUGGCUUUUAUAUGGUUGUCUGAAAUAUCAAGUAUUGAAGCAUCUGAGAAUGAUUCGGUCCACUUUUACUGGUGCUAAACAUUCCUGCUGCACAUAUGGAAGAAAUGUGACUGUUACCGUUAAUUGACUAACUUGGAGAAAUUUCAUUCAACUCCUGUUGUAACUAAUUUAAAAAACAGAGAAAUAUAUAGUCUGAUCAAUAAGUAUGCGGACUGUUGCUAUAGUAACAAAGCUAAAGCACAGAGAGUGAAGUCACUUGGCACAAAUUGACCUUGAAUUCUGUUGUGUAUGUAUACUAAGUUUUAACAUUCUUGCUCACUUCCGCUGUUUACAGCAGUGCUUGGAAGAAAGGUGUGUAGUGUGAGCUAGAAUGUUAAAACUUAGUGCACAUGCACAGCAGAGUUCAAGGUUUAUCUGUGCCAAGCGGUUUCACUCUGUGUGUUUUAGCUUCGUUACUAUGGCAACAGUCCCAAUACUUAUUGAUCAGACAUUGUAAAUUUGCCAUAAAUGGUAGGAUGCUGAUCUAAAAACCAUGUGUGAAUCAAGUUUCACAGAAUUCCUUGUCUUUUAAUUGAAUCCCUUUACCUUCUGAGAUUGGAUUCUACCAAGGUCAGCUUUGCUUUUCAUUCUUCCGAUGUUGAUAUAAUCAAUUACAACUCCCAUUCUCACUCACAAAAAGUGUACUUUUUUACAUUUUAAUUAACAUGUACAUUUAGUCCAUACUCAACUUUCAUCGAUAUUUGCACCCUAUAUCAUGUUCAAAACAAGUCAAUAUUUAUAAACUGAAUUAUUUUAAUUGUAUAAUUUCACUGACAAAUUUUUCUUGUUGAUUAUUAUCCCAAUUUAAAUUUAAAAUUUUGUUACAAUGUUUUUUUUUUAUUUGUUGUUUUAUUCUUUUUUUUAUUAAUUGUUUACUAAUAUCAGCAAUGCUUUUAAAUUCCUAUACGUAGAACAUUUGAAGGACUUUGGUUCAGGCAUUUUAAUUUUAUUUAUUACUUCAUAAGAUUUGUGUGACCAAAAAGUACACAGUUUCUUUAUAUAUACAUUACUAACAAAAGGUCUUAAGACCAUCCUGAAAUAUUAAUGUCCAGCUUCAUGCAGGAUUUAGAUCAUAAAAUUCCAAAAUAACAACUAUAUACUUUUUCAAUAUGUUAUUUAGCUGCACAGUACUAAAACAAUCAGAAAUUUGAUUCUUCAAAGUGACCUUUCAGUAAAAUGGCUACUGACAUUUAGUAGUUACAAUUUCCUUGUUGAGUGUGGCAGAACCUGAAAAUAAUCUGACGUUUUGCUGUUGCAGUUCGUGUUGCAUACAAAUGGCACAGAUGUCACUGAAACAUUUACUUUAACUUUUGAGGUGGGACAGGCCGGAAGUAGAACUGUUGAAUAUACAGAAAAAGGAAUAGAUGAGAAUUCCAAGCAGUAUCUAAUGUAAAGCAGGGUAUAAAAGAACAAGUCUUUGUUAACUGAAUCCUUCUGUCUUGCGGAUUUAACAUCUCUGUUAGAAAGGAUGUUGAAGCUGCAAAAAACUUGCUUUGGAACCUUUUUGGCUGAAUCUCAUAAAAAAAUUCUAUCACUAUUUUUAGGCACAGACUUUGCUGUGUGGUUGAAAAGCUUGCUUCAGAAACAUGGUCUUGGGUUCAUCCCACUGUGUGGCUUUUGGGUCUUCUGCUAGUCCUAGGCUGAUGAAAGCCUUGCGAAUGGAUAUGGUAGAUGGACUGAAAAAAGCCCAUGGUAUAUAUAUAUAUAUAGUGCAAGAGAGUUAGGGGUUGAGGAUUCAAUCCACUAAGGGAUAGUAUCUAUCCAACUGGGAGGGUACCCAAUUAUUGUUACACUAGUGUUAUACCAAGUGUAAUAAGUGGGUGUGGGUAAAAGGGGGUUAUUUUACCCUAAAUUUAUAUACCGCAUAUUCUCCUCCAUUUUCUUAUUGCUAUAUAUAUAUAUAUAUACACACUCACACGUGUGUUUGUCUCCCAUCAAAGCUUAACGACUUGUGUUGGUUUGUUCAUGUUUCCAUAACUUCACAGUUUGUUGAAGGUAACUGACAGAAUAAGUACUAGGAUUUAAGAAAAUAAGUCCUGUAGUCAAUUUAUUUGACUAAAACACAUCAAGGCAGUGCCCCAGCGUGGCCACAGUCCAAUGACUGAAAUGGGUAAAAGAUAAAAUGUGUAUUUUGAUAAUUGUUUUUGUUGUUUUACAUGUACUGGUUUGUUUGAGACUGCUUUCUAACAAAACAAUAUGGAUGUGAUACGAUCUGUUUGAAUCUGUGUAGUCUUCCUGUAGGCAUGAAAGCAUGUAAAUUGAAGCACGAGUCAGCUGGAGAAAAAAAUAUGCAGAAGGGAACACUUACAGUAUUAUCUGGUGUGCAAAGAAAUGUUGAUUCAAACAUCCAGUUA